UCUUAAAAUAAUUUAUAAAAUUAUUAUGAAUUUUUUAAAUUGUUAUUUUUAAAAUUAAUUUUAUAAUUUUUAAAUUUAUUAGAUAAAAAUUAUUAAUAUUUAUAUUUUUAGUAUUGUUAAAGAAUUAAAUUAUUUAGAUAAAUUAAAAUUUUUUUUAUUUGUACCUUUUGUAUCAGGGUUUAUUAAAAUUUUAGAAUUAUUAAUUUAUUUCUCGAAAUAUAUUGAAUUAAUUUGAUAGAAAAAUUAUUGUAAAAAUAAUAUUUUAAAUAUUAAAUUUGUAAUUAUAUGUUAUUCAUAAUAUAAUAUCUAGUUAUUUAAUAAAUAAAUUUAAUUUAAUUGAAAUUAUUAAUAUUAAAAAAAUUAAGGUUUUUAAUAUUUAUUUUUAAUAAUAAUUAUAGGGAUAAGCUUGUAAUUAAAUUAUUUAUAAAUUAUGUUUAAUUGUAUUAAAAUAAAAUUAAAAAUUUUUAAUUUUAAUAGUAUGUAAUUAUUAUAAUAAUAAUAUAAAUUAAAUAUUUUUUUUUUUUUAAAUAAUUUAUUAAAUUAUUUAUUUAAAUUUUAUGAAUAAAAUAAUAAUGAUAAAAUUAGUAAAUUGUUAUUAAAUUGUAUAAAAAUAAUUUUUUAGAUUAUUUUAAAGAAUUAGGCAAUAAUUUUAUAUUCAUCUGUUUAUUAAAAACAUUGUUUAUUGAUUAAUAAUAUUAGAUAUUUUCUGCUCAAUGAUAAUUUUUAAAUAGCUGCAGUAUUUUAACUGUACAAAGGUAGCAUAAUCAUUUGAUUUUUUAUUGAAAUCUGGAAUGAAAGGAAUAAUGAAAUAUAAUCUUUUUAAAUUUGAAAAAUUAAAUUUUAUUUUUAAGUAAAAAAUCUUAAUAAUUAUUUAAAGACGAGAAGACCCUAUAGAAUUUUAUAAAUAUAUUUAAAUUUUUUUUUAAGUAAUUUUAUUAUAUUGGGGUAAUAUUAAAAUUUAAUUAAUUUUUAUUUAAGUUUUUUCAUUAAUAUAUGUUUAUAAAAUUUAUUAAUAAUAAAUAAAAAUUAAAUUACCUUAGGGAUAACAGCGUAAUUAUUUUUGAGAGAUCUUAUUGAUAAAAUAGAUUAUGACCUCGAUGUUGAAUUAAAAUAAAUUAUUAAUGAAGAUAUUAAUUAAUUAAGUCUGUUCGACUUUUAAAAUUUUACAUGAUUUGAGUUUAGAUCGGUGUGAGCCAGAUCGGAUUCUAUCUUAAAUUAUUUAAAAUAUUUUUGUACGAAAGGACUUUAUAUUUAUAAAAUUUAUUAAAAAUUUGAAUAAAAUU
rnacentral:rRNA from 1 species